UACGUAGGGGGCUAGCGUUGUCCGGAAUCAUUGGGCGUAAAGCGCGUGUAGGCGGCCCGGUAAGUCCGCUGUGAAAGUCCAGGGCUCAACCCUGGGAUGCCGGUGGAUACUGUCGGGCUCGAGUCCGGAAGAGGCGAGUGGAAUUCCUGGUGUAGCGGUGAAAUGCGCAGAUAUCAGGAGGAACACCGGUGGCGAAGGCGGAUCUCUGGGCCUUACCUGACGCUGAGGCGCGAAAGCUAGGGGAGCGAACAGG
rnacentral:rRNA from 1 species